GAUGAACGCUGGCGGCGUGCCUAAUACAUGCAAGUCGAGCGAACGGACGAGUAGCUUGCUUUUCUGAUGUUAGCGGCGGACGGGUGAGUAACACGUGGAUAACCUACCUAUAAGACUGGGAUAACUUCGGGAAACCGGAGCUAAUACCGGAUAAUAUUUUGAACCGCAUGGUUCUUAAUUGAAAGACGGUCUUGCUGUCACUUAUAGAUGGAUCCGCGUUGCAUUAGCUAGUUGGUAAGGUAACGGCUUACCAAGGCAACGAUGCAUAGCCGACCUGAGAGGGUGAUCGGCCACACUGGAACUGAGACACGGUCCAGACUCCUACGGGAGGCAGCAGUAGGGAAUCUUGCGCAAUGGGCGAAAGCCUGACGGAGCAACGCCGCGUGAGUGAUGAAGGUCUUCGGAUCGUAAACCUCUGUUAUAAGGGAAGAACAGAUGUGUAAGUAACUGUGCACAUCUUGACGGUACCUGAUCAGAAAGCCACGGCUAACUACGUG
rnacentral:rRNA from 1 species